CAUAUACUUACCAGCGCAUUUGUCAACGCUUUGGACCAUUGUGAAGCUUGCAAUGGACCUGUCUCCGCUCUAAGAUGGCUUGGUUACACAUGCAAAUUGUGUUCAAGGUCGUGGCACAAAUCUUGCUUUAUCAAGAUGAAUCCGUUGCAGGAUGUUGAUGAGCAUGUUUCCGACUCUGCAAGUAGUCACGGCACUUCCUCCGGUGAUCUCUUUCACAUUGACACUGAAUCAAGUUGUGAUGGAAAUAGUGAUAGUGAGGA